UGAGUGGGUGGGGGCUGGAGGCCGUUGAGAGUACCCCUGGGGGGCAGGAAUAGGGGGAGCGAGUGGAGGACAUGUGGAUGACAAGAGGGCUGCCCUGUCCGCCCAGGAUGUGAGGCCUCUAGGGUUUGGCUGUGAAAGUCCCGGUCACCUCCUCCAGCCGAGCUAUUAAUACCCAGCUACGACCCACGCACCCUCGCUGGGAGGACGCCGAGUUCCUUGGGGGCUAAAAACGGUCUGAGAUGGGGAUGGGCCUUGGUGUUCUCCCUCUCUUCUUGUCAGAGGAACUGGGGCCAAAGGCCAGGCUGGCCUGCAAGGGGGCCGGAGCCAGGGUGGGGAGACAGAGGGUGACUGAGCCCUGGGGAUGGCCUGAGGAUUCCAGGCUGGGUCAAGAAGGCACCCAGCAGUCCAGUCCCCACUGCUCAGAGACCGAGGGCAAGGGCAGAGGUCUUGCCAGUGGUCUCACCCAGGAGGGGCCCACCACCUAGCUCUCCUGGCUCCUUGCCUUCACCCAGGCAUUCCCCUUCCCCUCAGACCUCAGCUUGGCCUGCCCAGGCUGCCAUGAGGCUGGAGGCCGAGGGCUGCCUGUCUCCUCCUGCCAGGAGGAUCCUAGAAGGGAAAGGGGGCUUGGGGGUGGUGCAGGGAGGCCUGGAGCCUCUGGUGGGAUCUGAGCCAGCCGCCUGAAACAGAGCCAUCCACAUUUCAGCUUCAUGUGUGAAAUCUUGAUCAUUCACAGCACUCUCUGAGGGGGAAAUUACAGGCAGCACCAUUUUAUAGCUGAAGAAACUGAGGCUUGGUCAUCUCCCCAGAGCCUGAGCUGGAUAGACCCAGUUUGUUAGACUCCAACCCCUACUUUGUGUUGCUUCCUGUUACAUCAUUACAAAGGGAGGUUUCUUGGUUUGUUUGGAGAACCCAUGAAACAAGUGUUUUCAUCAAAAUGUCCUGAUCACCAUAUUGUCCUAGGCCCAGCAGGGUGGCUGGACCAAGAACGGGGGGCCUGCAGGGGCACCUUUCUCCUGCACUGGUCAGCCCCAGUCCCAGGGAUCAGCAGCCACUUUCCCCUCCUUCCUGGGGCUCAAGGGCACAUCCUAGGAAGCUGUGCUGGGCUUCUGGGCUCAGGGCCACCCAAGGCCACCUGCUCCCGGCUGUGUCACCCUCCCUUCCCAUGACAGAUGCUCCAGGAUCCAGACACAGACCCCAGAAGAGCCCAGACUUGGCUGGCAGAGUCCAGACGAGAAUGUGGCUGAGAGGUGUCAGCCCCAGAGGCCCCGGGAGCCGGAAAUCCCGACAGCUGCCUGGCUCACGGGUCCUGGGCAUUGGGCCCUGACCCAGGGCGGGCAGUGGCCGUGUCAGGUGUCCAGAGGAGUUGGGGGAGGUGAUGGCUGGAGCUAGGGGCAGUCUGCCUGUGGUUAGCAAGGCUGUCGACACCUCCCAGGCUGCCAAGGCAGAGCAGGCGAGGAGCCUGGGGGAGGGGUCCUACCUUGGCCUGGAAGGUCUGAGGGGAGAGACAGGUCUUGUCUUGAAGAUCUGGGGUAAGAAGAACAGUCUUUCCUAAGCUGAGAGACCUGGCCUGGCUGAGAAAUUUGAAGACGGGGACAGACUCCUAGCCUUGAGGGCUGGUAGAGGGGGUAUGUUCCUAAUAGGGUGUGAGGGUUGUCCCAUCUUGACCACAGGGAAGGCUACCCAUACCCUGGGCUUGGGGAGGGGAAGCUCUGAACCUGUCUCCCACCAGUUCCCCCCUCAGCUGGGAGGCGGGUGGCUCUGCAGGACAAGACAGGAGGCCUCCAGCCUCAGGCCGACCACACCAACAGCCCCAGGGUUUCACUUCUCUAUGGAGAAAAGGAGAGGCCUAGUCCUGCCUGGAUUUUCCUCAGUCUCUGGGGAGGGUCUCUGCCUCUGUGCUGGUGGAGGGGGUGGGCAGGCUAACCUCAGCCGGUUCCAGAGGAGCCCUUCUGGGAUGGGCCCCACUGCCCACCUGACCCAUGCCCCCUCAGUUCUCCUCAUGCCCACAUGCUCAACUCCCCUGGAGCCACCUCCCGAGGCAGUCUUCCUGGAUUGCUAGAGAUCAGGAGGCACAGGCUCCCAACCCCCAUACCAGGCCUGAAGGGCCCAUGGCUGCCCUAUCUCCUUGAGGGCCCGGCUGGCAGAGCCUAACCUUGUAGGGCUUUGGGCUGCCAUCUCUCUUCUCCCACUUUCCUUUCAAUGUGCCCUCCUUCCUGGCUUUCCUAGACUUUCCAAACCAGCCCCUGGGCCACACCAGGUCUGGGGUCCUCUACCAUCUCCGCUGUCCCGCUUGCCCAGUCUGGGGCUCAGUCCCCAUGCCCUGCACCUCUGUCUUUUCUUUCUGGGUUUAUCUUUGUCCUCUGGCCUCUGACUCAGACCUGACCCUAUCUCUCUGUUUCAGUCUCCAUCUCUGCCCCCUCUCCAUCUCUGUCUGACUCCCUCACCCAGUCUCAGACAUCUCAGCCUUUCUGUCACUGUUGCUCUAGGACCUGAUCCCGGCAGUGUCUCCUCUCCCCACCUGGCCGGGGCACCAGCUCAGACAUCUGCUCUGACGUCUGCUCACUGGGCCCCAUAAAGAGCUCAGACAACACUUGUGGUCUCAACUCUGGCCCAGCUCCAGGGGAACUGCUGUGAUUCCUCGAAGGGGGAAAAACACGCAGGAGCUAUAAUUAGUCAGGAAGAGGAAAGAAGAGUGGAGCGUGUGAAUCACCAGCCCCGGUGACAGACGGCAGAGCCGAGCAGAAGUUUAGGGAGAAGCUGCUGGGAUGUGGGCUGAGUAUUAUUCCGUUGUACAUAUUGCAUGGGGUUUUCUGUGCUGCAUCUCAGGACGUCUGAG